UUUCCCAUUUGACUACCACAUUUUCUCCUAAUAGAUUUUAGUGGCUAUGCUUAUGGGAUAGAUUAAAGGUGCCAUGAUCUGAAGAGGGAGGAUUUUUUCAUUGUCCUCCUUCUAUAUGAAAUGGCUGAACAGAAAAUC
rnacentral:snoRNA from 1 species